rnacentral:rRNA from 1 species
UGGGGAAUAUUGGACAAUGGGGGCAACCCUGAUCCAGCGAUGCCGCGUGUGCGAAGAAGGCCUGCGGGUUGUAAAGCACUUUAGUUGGGGAAGAAAGUUCAGUAGUCGAAUAGGCUAUUGAUUUGACGUUACCCAAAGAAUAAGCACCGGCUAACUCUGUGCCAGCAGCCGCGGUAAUACAGAGGGUGCGAGCGUUAAUCGGAAUUACUGGGCGUAAAGGGCGCGUAGGCGGUUAUGUAAGUUAGAUGUGAAAUCCCCGGGCUUAACCUGGGAAUGGCAUUUAAUACUGUAUGACUAGAGUAGAGUAGAGGGAAGUGGAAUUUCCGGUGUAGCGGUGAAAUGCGUAGAUAUCGGAAAGAACACCAGUGGCGAAGGCGGCUUCCUGGACUCAUACUGACGUUGAGGCGCGAAAGCGUGGGUAGCAAACAGG